rnacentral:rRNA from 1 species
UUGGAGGGCAAGUCUGGUGCCAGCAGCCGCGGUAAUUCCAGCUCCAAUAGCGUAUAUUAAAGUUGUUGCAGUUAAAAAGCUCGUAGUUGAAUUUCGGGAUUAGUGCGCCGGUCGUGCCUUCGGUAUGUACUGGUGUUACUGGUUCCUACCUUCUGACGAACCGUCAUGUCAUUAAUUUGGUGUUGCGGGGAAUCUGGACUGUUACUUUGAAAAAAUUAGAGUGUUUAAAGCAGGCUAACGCUUGAAUACAUUAGCAUGGAAUAAUGAAAUAGGACGUUCGAUCCUAUUCUGUUGGUUUCUAGGAUUGACGUAAUGAUUAAUAGGGAUAGUUGGGGGCAUUAGUAUUCAAUUGUCAGAGGUGAAAUUCUUGGAUUUAUUGAAGACUAACUACUGCGAAAGCAUUUGCCAAGGAUGUUUUCAUUAAUCAAGAACGAAAGUUAGGGGAUCGAAGACGAUCAGAUACCGUCGUAGUCUUAACCAUAAACUAUGCCGACUAGGGAUCGGAUGAUGUUAAUUUUUUAAUGACUCAUUCGGCGCCUUACGGGAAA